rnacentral:misc_RNA from 1 species
CAGAGUUGCAAGACUCCCUAAACCAUUGUGAACCUACCUUCUACCGUUGCUUCGGCGGGCGGGCCCAGCGCCCCCCCGGCCCCCCGCGGGCGCCCGCCGGAGGAUACCCAAACUCUUGACAUUAGUGACCUCUCUGAGUAUUCUUUACUGAAUAAGUCA